rnacentral:rRNA from 1 species
AUGCAGUCGAACGCGCGGCAUCAGGAGCUUGCUCCUGUGACGCGAGUGGCGGACGGGUGAGUAACACGUAGGCAACCUGCCCAUCAGACCGGGAUAACCACGGGAAACCGUGACUAAUACCGGAUAAUCCUUUUCCUCACAGGAGGGAAAGUUGAAAGGCGGUCUUUUGACUGCCACUGAUGGAUGGGCCUGCGGCGCAUUAGCUAGUUGGUGGGGUAAGGGCCCACCAAGGCGACGAUGCGUAGCCGACCUGAGAGGGUGAUCGGCCACACUGGGACUGAGACACGGCCCAGACUCCUACGGGAGGCAGCAGUAGGGAAUCUUCCGCAAUGGACGAAAGUCUGACGGAGCAACGCCGCGUGAGUGAAGAAGGGUUUCGGCUCGUAAAACUCUGUUGUCAGGGAAGAACGUCCCCGUGAGUAACUGCACGGGGAGUGACGGUACCUGACCAGAAAGCCACGGCUAACUACGUGCCAGCAGCCGCGGUAAUACGUAGGUGGCAAGCGUUAUCCGGAAUUAUUGGGCGUAAAGCGCGCGUAGGCGGUCUGUUAAGUCUGAUGUGAAAGCCCCCGGCUCAACCGGGGAGGGUCAUUGGAAACUGGCAGACUUGAGUGCAGAAGAGGAGAGUGGAAUUCCAUGUGUAGCGGUGAAAUGCGCAGAGAUAUGGAGGAACACCAGUGGCGAAGGCGGCUCUCUGGUCUGUAACUGACGCUGAGGUGCGAAAGCGUGGGGAUCAAACAGGAUUAGAUACCCUGGUAGUCCACGCCGUAAACGA